rnacentral:rRNA from 1 species
GUUUGAUGGCGACCGGCGCACGGGUGAGUAACACGUAUCCAACCUGCCGAUGACUCGGGGAUAGCCUUUCGAAAGAAAGAUUAAUACCCGAUGGCAUAGUUCUUCCGCAUGGUAGAACUAUUAAAGAAUUUCGGUCAUCGAUGGGGAUGCGUUCCAUUAGGUUGUUGGCGGGGUAACGGGCCCACCAAGCCUUCGAUGGAUAGGGGUUCUGAGAGGAAGGGUCCCCCCACAUUGGAACUGAGANACGGUCCAAACUCCUACGGGAGGCAGCAUG